GGGGACGUGCUGAAAUUGGCAGACAGGCAUGGUUUAGGCCCAUGUGCCGUAACAGGUGUGCAGGUUCAAGUCCUGUCGUCCCCA
rnacentral:tRNA from 1 species